UGGAAUGCAGGCUCUUGAGUACCUAGGGGACAAGAAGGAAAUAGUUCUGCAGGCUGGGGCACAGGACCGAGAGACCUGGAGAGAAAGAGAUUCAGGAGCAAAGAGGAGAUCUGGAAUCCCUAGAGCAGCCUCCCCUUUGAGAACCAGAGGAAACAUCAAAACAUAGCAGCUACGACAGCUGAUGCCAACCAGGGAUGUGCCUCCAAACCUCAGACCCCAGCUUGCACUGGAGCAGAGCACUCAUUAUCGCUGCAGGCAGCAACAUUCCAGAGAGAGCAUGAGGGCGGCUUUGGUGGAUGUGGCACAAACCUGAGUGGACACUGCAGAUGGUUGGCAGAAGGAAGUCCAGGAAGUGCUUAGGUUUAAUGAGGCCUGGGAGAACUGAAGCAUGGACAACAUGAUAGAAUUAAGGAAGCAGCUCCUACACCACACAUGGCAGUUUCUUGACCUGGUCAUGCAGUGCCAUGUUGAUGUGCAGAUGACACAAGACUGGAUUAAGAAUGUCCUGCAGUACAUGAACAAGUGCAGCAUCCAUAAGCGGGUACCACCCCUGAAAGGGCACACUAGCUCUACUUAGCUUGCCUCAGUCCAGAAGGUAGGAAGGAGUAUUAGAGCUGAGUCUGUUCCCUGAAACACAAUGCAGUCAGCUGAGGGGCACAUGAGUGCCAGCAGGGCCAGGAGGGCACUGCUGCUGUGACAGCUAAAAAUUAUAUCUGUGUGAUAACGGUGCUUGCUGAAGGCUCUAUGAAAAUUAGACCAAGUGUUUUUCUGUCAUUUGUUCAGAUAUUAAGCUAUAUGUUGUUGUUAAGAGCCUAAUUAAAGUC